GCCAGGUGCGGUGAUGUGUGCCUGUAGUCCCAGCUACUUGGGAGGCUGAGCCAGGAGGAUCACUGGAGCCUAGGAGUUCAAGGCUGCAGUGAACUGUGAUUGCACCACUGCACUCCAGCCGGGGUGACACAGUGAGACCCUGUCUCUA
rnacentral:SRP_RNA from 1 species